rnacentral:misc_RNA from 1 species
AGCUUUGUUAGUGUGAUUCCACUGCAAAAAUUACAAGAACAUAAAAUUUGUCAGUGAGAUCAUUCCAAAUUAACAUAUGAACAAUGGUGGGUGAAUUCAUAAAAGAACCAUGCUUGCAGCAGACACAAUAAAAUGGGUCUUGGGAUGUCAGCUUAAAAGCUUAAACAAGCAUCUUUGGUCUUUAGGCAGAAGACAAACGGUUUUUUUUUUUUGGUUGAAUUUUUCUUCUUCCUUUAAUUAUAGUUUGUAGUUCUUUUUUGAUGUAAAAGACAUUACUCCAUAGAUAGCCAAAUACACUGCAUUUUACAUCAAGCAAUUGGAAAGCGGAACCAUGCUACCAAGAUAUAUAUCAUAUAGAAGUAUUCCAGCCUAUUUGUGUGUGUCAACCAAAUAUGAGGUCUGAGAAAUCUAGAUCCUGUCUCUUUGUGUUAGGGAUAUGGUGUAUUCUUGAUGAAGCAAAGAAGUUCUGGAAGGAUUGCAAUUGG